rnacentral:rRNA from 1 species
CCUACGGGAGGCAGCAGUGAGGAAUAUUGGUCAAUGGACGCAAGUCUGAACCAGCCAUGUCGCGUGCAGGAUGACUGCCCUAUGAGUUGUAAACUUCUUUUGUAUGGGGAUAAAUUGCGAUACGUGUACUGGUUUGCAAGUACCGUAUGAAUCAGGAUCGGCUAACUCCGUGCCAGCAGCCGCGGUAAUACGGAGGAUCCAAGCGUUAUCCGGAUUUAUUGGGUUUAAAGGGAGCGUAGGCGGAUGGUUAAGUUAGUGGUGAAAUCGCGGGGCUCAACUGUGACAUUGCCGUUGAUACUGGCAGCCUUGAGUAUAGUUGAGGUAGGCGGAAUGUGUGGUGUAGCGGUGAAAUGCAUAGAUAUCAUGAAGAACACCGAUUGCGAAGGCAGUUUACUAGACUGCAACUGACGUUGAGGCACGAAAGCGUGGGGAGCAAACAGGAUUAGAUACCCGAGUAGUC